rnacentral:rRNA from 1 species
GUAGGUGGCAAGCGUUGUCCGGAAUUAUUGGGCAUAAAGCGCGCGCAGGCGGUUCUUUAAGUCUGAUGUGAAAGCCCACGGCUCAACCGUGGAGGGUCAUUGGAAACUGGAGAACUUGAGUACAGAAGAGGAAAGCGGAAUUCCACGUGUAGCGGUGAAAUGCGUAGAGAUGUGGAGGAACACCAGUGGCGAGGGCGGCUUUCUGGUCUGUAACUGACGCUGAGGCGCGAAAGCGUGGGGGAGCAAACAGGAUUAGAUACCCUGGUAGUCCACGCCGUAAACGAUGAGUGCUAAGUGUUAGGGGGUUUCCGCCCCUUAGUGCUGCAGCUAACGCAUUAAGCACUCCGCCUGGGAGUACGGCCGCAAGGCUG